CGGGUGAGUAAUGUCUGGGAAACUGCCUGAUGGAGGGGGGUAACUACUGGAAACGGUAGCUAAUACCGCAUAACGUCGCAAGACCAAAGAGGGGGACCUUCGGGCCUCUUGCCAUCGGAUGUGCCCAGAUGGGAUUAGCUAGUAGGUGGGGUAACGGCUCACCUAGGCGACGAUCCCUAGCUGGUCUGAGAGGAUGACCAGCCACACUGGAACUGAGACACGGUCCAG
rnacentral:rRNA from 1 species